rnacentral:rRNA from 1 species
UUUUCCUACGGGAGGCAGCAGUGGGGAAUAUUGGGCAAUGGGCGCAAGCCUGACCCAGCAAUGCCGCGUGAAGGAAGAAGGCCCUCGGGUUGUAAACUUCUUUUAUCAGGGACGAAGGAUGUGACGGUACCUGAUGAAUAAGCUCCGGCUAACUACGUGCCAGCAGCCGCGGUAAUACGUAGGGAGCAAGCGUUAUCCGGAUUUACUGGGUGUAAAGGGCGCGUAGGCGGGAUGGCAAGUCAGCGGUCAAAGCCCGGGGCUCAACCCCGGCCCGCCGUUGAAACUGGCAGUCUCGAGUUGGAGAG